AGGCAGCCAGUUAAGAGGCUUCACAGUGUUCAGUUUAGUGCCAGCUCUCGAGGUAUCAAGAUGACGAAUCCUGUUGACAACUUGGCGACUGAGAUAGAGGCGUUAACCCGGAUCGUCAACCAGGACGAAAUGAUGGAUGAAAGUACAACGCGUCAACUUGGUGUUGCCUCGGACAGCGCGGAGAUCCCAAAAACUCCGAAUCCUACCCCGAACGAGAAUUAGAAGAGAAAAAAAAAUUGUCGAUGGUGGGAUAAAAAAAAGUCCAAGAAACAAAAAGAAAAAAAGUCCGCACCUGCGUCGGAUACUGCGCAGCUCCACAAAGUGGCCAGAUCCACCCCGAACCAGCGGGACAAGCGAGUCUCUCGGAAUCCGCGGUUCCGAAAGACUCGCACUGACGGUCCGCCGAAGCAGACGUCUUCGGACCCGCGGACGACGGAGGAACGCGCAUUAACGGUAGUCGUGAACACCAUACUCAA